rnacentral:tRNA from 1 species
CAUUAAGAAGCUUUCACGUUUAAGCAACAG